CAUGUUCAUUCAUCUGCCACUGAAUAAGAUCCACACACUCGCAGACCAGUCCCCCCUUGGGUCCUUGAAUCCUGAAGAAAGCAGGACUAUAAAUUCGAGAGAGCAACAAGUCCACCAUGAAGACGGACAGGCUCAGCACCCCUGUCGCUGGCUGAUGAAGUCGACUUGGGGACAUGCUGGAGGAGCACUAGCUCUAUGCCCUGAGGACAAAGGCCUCUCCUCAGAAGAUUCUGGGCCAGGGCAGAGCACUGCACAGGCAUCGGGAAGGUAACCAGCUACACCAGUAACCUCACACGCCCUGCGGCUGCGGCUGGUGACAGACACAUCACCAUGAGGCUCUGAGGUGUGAGAAUGGCUCUUGCGGCUCUCAGUUACAAUAAAUCGAC